ensembl:rRNA 5S_rRNA 5S ribosomal RNA
GCGCCCGAUCUCGUCUGAUCUCGGAAGCUAAG